rnacentral:rRNA from 1 species
AUUGAACGCUGGCGGCAUGCUUUACACAUGCAAGUCGAACGGUAACAGGGAGCUUGCUCCGCUGACGAGUGGCGAACGGGUGAGUAAUGCGUCGGAACGUGCCGAGUAGUGGGGGAUAACGCAUCGAAAGGUGUGCUAAUACCGCAUACGUACUGAGGUAGAAAGUGGGGGACCUUCGGGCCUCACGCUAUUCGAGCGGCCGACGUCUGAUUAGCUAGUUGGUGAGGUAAAGGCUCACCGAGGCGACGAUCAGUAGCGGGUCUGAGAGGAUGAUCCGCCACACUGGGACUGAGACACGGCCCAGACUCCUACGGGAGGCAGCAGUGGGGAAUUUUGGACAAUGGGCGAAAGCCUGAUCCAGCCAUGCCGCGUGUCUGAAGAAGGCCUUCGGGUUGUAAAGGACUUUUGUCGGGGAGGAAAUCCCCAGCGUUAAUACCGCUGGGGGAUGACAGUACCUGAAGAAUAAGCACCGGCUAACUACGUGCCAGCCGCCGCGGUAACAC